AAGGGUCCCGGCACUCCUUGAGGCAAAGAUUUUAGCAACUCAGCAUCCAGCCCCCUGCAGCCCGGUGGAGCUCUGAAGGACAGCGCUGCCAGGGUUACUGAGUUGAUCUGAGCCCAGGAAGGUUUCUGUUCCAGCAAGGCCACUCACACAGUGCUAUCCUGGAGGUCCAACAGCUGCACCUCUACAAACCAACUAGAACCAACUCAGCAGGGCAGUAAUUCUACCUUUGCCAACAGUUUUCAUUUACCUCCACCGGCCUCGCCGCCCCGCGCCGCCCCGCCCCCACCCG
rnacentral:lncRNA from 1 species